UGUUUGUUUGUUUCUUUGGUUUUGGGUUUUUUUCCUUAUUUACAGAAUAGGUUUAUUUUUAUUUUUUUUAACAUACCCAGCUGGAACUAGGAACGCUGCUUUAGGAGCCUCAUUAGGCAUUCCCUUUAGCAGCAUACAAUAGGCUCUCACACCUGGCCUGUCUCUGCAGUAUUGCCCAAGGUGGAUGCAGGAGUUGUUACCAUCAGAAUGCUGUCAAAGCAGAGAGUCUCCACAUGCAGCAGACUGAGAGGCUUUUAUUUUUCAGUUCAGUUGAACAGAUUACCUCUUGGUCAGAAGAUAAAGAGGUCUGGCUCCACAGGUAAUACAGUCUAAGUGCUUGACCAUGUUUGAAGAAGUUUUACUGAAGGCAUUGGAAUCACAGGAAAGGCGGAAAAAGGGAAAAGAAUUAGUUGCCUAGGGAAACUAUUCUGUACACCUAGAUGUAAAUGUUCUUUCCUGGUACACUCAUUUUUUUGUUUACUGGACAGUCUUCCAAAAUUAUUGUUAGUACCAAGAGAAAAAUGAAGUAACAUUUCAACUGCUAAUUUCACAAGCUGCUUCAGCACUUUUACCUUGUCAAAAAAGAUUUUAGUGUGCCAGCACAACUGAUGUUUACAUCAGAAAAAAUACUUUAAAAAAAUUGUAAAUUUUUAGUUUUGUGUUUCAGAGCUGAAUCUUCUUUGGGAAGUUUUUUUUUAGAAUUUAGAUAGUCCCAUAUUUUUGAAAAGGAUUACUUGUCUCAAGAAAAAAGAAUUCAUAAGAAAUGCUUUCUUCAUAAUAUAUGCAUUUGGACUAUGGCUUCUCCAGUUAGAGAAACCCACAGGACAAACACAUCCAUUACUGUCCUUGCAAAGUGACAGUGGGAAGACAAAGAUGUAGCAUCCAUUGUAAAGUCCAAAACACAAUGACCUGCAAGAACAUUUUCUACUGUUGGUACUUAGGAACAACCAUCACACUCAUGACAACACAAUUAUUCAUAUGUAUGCACACAAACCAAGGAAAAAUCUGCAGAGUCUGUACAGAAAAAACAUACAUUAACUUCAUAUCAGAGGAGGGGUGGACUAAAUAGUAGCUAAAUGUAUGCUGGAGACCAAACUCUUCUAAACAUAGAGGAGUAGAUUAGAUCCAUCCUCUAAAGCAUAUCUGAAAAAUCCUCCUCUUUGAUCUAUUGGAUACAAUUCUAUAGCUUAUCAUGGCAAUUAAAUCAUUUUGAAUUGAACUGAAUUGAGGAAUGAAUGAAUCAUUGGUUGCAAGCCAGCUCUCAGUGUGCAGGUGUCCACUUCAAAUAAAACCUCAUUACAAUGUUUUGGCAUCAAUUCAUGUUCUCUUGUACGAGUAUAACCUGCCAACAGAAACCAGCUUAUUUUCUCCAGGAUUUUGGUUUUAGUUGAGGAGAUUAAAACAAAUAUAUAUAUAAAAACAAAUCUGCUUCAAGCCACAAAGGUAUUGUUGCUUUCAAUAUGAUCUGACUCACAUUCCACUGAAAUCAGUUGGGCCCUUCUAUU